UACGUGGGGUGCAAGCGUUGUCCGGAAUUAUUGGGCGUAAAGCGUUUCGUAGGCGACUUGACAAGUCGUUCUUCAAAGACCGGGGCUCAACUUCGGGAAGGAGAGCGAUACUGUUAGGAUUGGGAUUACCAAGGGGUUGUCGGAACUAUCCAUGUAGGGGUGAAAUCCGUUGAUAUGGAUAGGAACACCAAGGGCGAAGGCAGACAACUAGGGGUAUAUCGACGCUGAGGAACGAAAGCCAGGGGAGCGAAACGG
rnacentral:rRNA from 1 species